rnacentral:rRNA from 1 species
UACGUAGGGUGCAAGCGUUGUCCGGAAUUAUUGGGCGUAAAGAGCUCGUAGGCGGUUUGUCGCGUCUGCUGUGAAAUCCCGGAGCUCAACUCCGGGUCUGCAGUCGAUACGGGCAGACUGGAGUUCGGCAGGGGAGACUGGAAUUCCUGGUGUAGCGGUGAAAUGCGCAGAUAUCAGGAGGAACACCGGUGGCGAAGGCGGGUCUCUGGGCCGACACUGACGCUGAGGAGCGAAAGCGUGGGGAGCGAACAGG